rnacentral:tRNA from 2 species
UAGUUCAGUUGGUUAGAAUACCGGCCUGUCACGCCGGGGGUCGCGGGUUCGAGUCCCG